rnacentral:rRNA from 1 species
GACGAACGCUGGCGGCGCGCUUAACACAUGCAAGUCGAACGGAAAGGCCUGCUUUCCCUUGUGGAUUGCGGGUACUCGAGUGGCGAACGGGUGAGUAACACGUGAGUGAUCUGCCCCCAACUUGGGUAUAAGCCUGGGAAACUGGGUCUAAUUCCCGAUAGGACUGCAGGGUGGUGCCUGUGGUGGAAAACGAUUUUCUAGUGGUUGGGGAUGAGCUCGCGGCCUAUCAGCUUGUUGGUGGGGUAAUGGCCUACCAAGGCGGCGACGGGUAGCCGGCCUGAGAGGGUGGACGGGCACAUUGGGACUGAGAUACGGACCAGACUCCUACGGGAGGCAGCAGUGGGGAAUAUUGCACAAUGGGCGGAAGCCUGAUGCAGCGACGACGCGUGGGGGAUGACGGCCUUCGGGUUGUAAACUCCUUUCGACCGCGAGGAAGCCACCUGGUUGGAAGGGUGGUGACGUAGUGGUAGAAGAAGCACCGGCUAACUACGUG